rnacentral:rRNA from 1 species
CCUACGGGUGGCAGCAGUGGGGAAUAUUGGGCAAUGGGCGCAAGCCUGACCCAGCAACGCCGCGUGAAGGAAGAAGGCCUUCGGGUUGUAAACUUCUUUUCUUAGGGACGAAGCAAGUGACGGUACUUGAGGAAUAAGCCACGGCUAACUACGUGCCAGCAGCCGCGGUAAUACGUAGGUGGCAAGCGUUAUCCGGAUUUACUGGGUGUAAAGGGCGUGUAGGCGGGACUGCAAGUCAGAUGUGAAAACCACGGGCUUAACCUGUGACCUGCAUUUGAAACUGGAGUUCUUGAGUACUGGAGAGGCAGACGGAAUUCCUAGUGUAGCGGUGAAAUGCGUAGAUAUUAGGAGGAACACCGAUGGCGAAGGCAGUCUGCUGGACAGCAACUGACGCUGAGGCGCGAAAGCGUGGGGAGCAAACAGGAUUAGAUACCCGAGUAGUC